AUACGAGGGUGGCAAGCGUUGUUCGGAAUAACUGGGCGUAAAGGGCGCGCAGGCGGCUUGACAAGUCAAAGGUGAAAUCCCUCGGCCCAACCGAGGAACUGCCUUUGAAACUGUCUGGCUUGAGUCCGGGAGAGGGUAGUGGAAUUCCCAGUGUAGCGGUGAAAUGCGUAGAUAUUGGGAGGAACACCAGUGGCGAAGGCGACUACCUGGACCGGUACUGACGCUGAGGCGCGAAAGCGUGGGGAGCAAACAGGAUUAGAAACCCGGGUAGUCC
rnacentral:rRNA from 1 species